rnacentral:rRNA from 1 species
GUCCGUUUGGAGAUAUAAACGGUCUGACCUGCUCACUGAUAAAAUUAUUUAAGAGCCGCGGUAUAUUGACCGUGCAAAGGUAGCAUAAUCAUUAGGGGUUUAAUUGGAACCUGGAAUGAAGGGUUGGACAAAGGAGAAACUGUCUCUGUGGUAUUAAUUGAAGUUUACUUUUAAGUGAAAAGGCUUAAAUAUGUCAAAGGGACGAUAAGACCCUAUAAAGCUUUAUAAAUAAUUUAAAUUUAAUUAAGUUAAGUGAUAAAGGUUGAAUUUAGUUGUUUUAUUUUGUUGGGGUGAUGUGAGUAUAAUUGUUAUUAACUGCUUAGAGAAAAUACUAUUAUAAAAGAAUUAUAAUAUAUGAUCCUUUCUAAAGAUUAAAAGACUAAGUUACUUUAGGGAUAACAGCGUUAUUUCUUUUGAGAGUUCUUAUCGAAAAAGAAGAUUGCGACCUCGAUGUUGAAUUAAAAUGUCUUUAUAAUGCAGCCGUUAUAAAAGAGGGUCUGUUCGACCUUUAAAUUUUU